GACUAACGCUGACGGUGUGCAUAAUACAUGCAAGUCGAACGUGCAAUGAAAAAGUAGCAAUACUUUUUCAAAGCAAGUGGCGAACGGGUGCGUAACGCGUGGGUAAUCUGCCUUGAAGAUUGGGACAACUCCUCGAAAGAGGGGCUAAUACCAAAUAUUUUAUAUGAACCGCAUGAUUUAUAUAGCAAAGGUAGCCGCAAGGCUUCCACUUUAAGAUGAGCCCGCGUCCUAUUAGCUAGUUGGUAAGGUAACGGCUUACCAAGGCUAUAAUGGGUAGCCGGUCUGAGAGGAUGGUCGGCCACACUGGGACUGAGAUACGGCCCAGACUCCUACGGGUGGCUG
rnacentral:rRNA from 1 species